GACUACUCGGGUAUCUAAUCCUGUUCGCUCCCCACGCUUUCGAGCCUCAACGUCAGUCGCGGUCCAGCAGGCCGCCUUCGCCGCCGGUGUUCCUCCUGAUAUCUACGCAUUUCACCGCUACACCAGGAAUUCCGCCUGCCCCUCCCGCACUCCAGCCAUGCAGUUCCAAGGGCAGUCCCGGGGUUGGGCCCCGGGCUUUCACCCCUGGCUUGCAUGGCCGUCUACGCUCCCUUUACACCCAGUGAAGCCGGAUAACGCUCGCCCCCUACGUAGUACCGCGGCUGCUGGCACGUAGUUAGCCGGGGCUUCUUAGUCAGGUACCGUCUUGCUUCUGCCCUGCCGAUAGGGCUUUACAUGCCGAAGCACUCCUUCACCCACGCGGCGUCGCUGCAUCAGGGUUCCCCCCAUUGUGCAAUAUCCCCCACUGCUGCCCCCCGUAGG
rnacentral:rRNA from 1 species